rnacentral:rRNA from 1 species
GACGAACGCUGGCGGCGUGCUUAACACAUGCAAGUCGAACGGAGCGAAUGAAAGCUUGCUUUUAUGAGCUUAGUGGCAAACGGGUGAGUAACACGUAGACAACCUGCCGAUUAGAUGGGGACAACAUUCCGAAAGGAAUGCUAAUACCGAAUGGUGUGCGGGGGAGGCAUCUCCCCCGCAUGAAAGAUGGCCAAUACAUGUAAGCUAUCACUGAUUGAUGGGUCUGCGUCUGAUUAGCUGGUAGGUAAGGUAACGGCUUACCUAGGCGACGAUCAGUAGCCGGUCUGAGAGGAUGAACGGCCACAUUGGGACUGAGACACGGCCCAGACUCCUACGGGAGGCAGCAGUGGGGAAUCUUCCGCAAUGGGCGCAAGCCUGACGGAGCAACGCCGCGUGAGUGAAGAAGGUCUUCGGAUCGUAAAGCUCUGUUGAAGGGGACGAACGUGUAUAGUGCAAAUAGUGCUAUAU